ACGGAGGGUGCGAGCGUUGUCCGGAAUCACUGGGCGUAAAGGGCGCGUAGGUGGCCCGUUAAGUGAGAAGUGAAAGCUCUGGGCUCAACCCAGAAACCGCUUUUCAUACUGGCGAGCUGGAGUGAUGCAGAGGUGGAUAGAAUUCCCGGUGUAGCGGUGAAAUGCGUUGAUAUCGGGAGGAAUACCCGUGGCGAAGGCGGUCCACUGGGCAUCAACUGACGCUGAGGCGCGAAAGCGUGGGUAGCAAACAGGA
rnacentral:rRNA from 1 species